AAAUGCGCGGACCAAGUCAAACGCGUCGGCUGAACCCCCCAAUUCUGUUUCAUUUUCAUUUGAAAUUCAACCUGUUUCAAAACCUUUUUUUUUUGUUUUUCAAAAAAACAUUUUUAACCUUUAUUCCUUUUUUAAAGAACCAUAAAUGCUUAGGAGUAUGUCUAAACUCCUUCACUUUCCCCUCUGCUUUCCAGCCCCAAAUCCGAUGACAGACGAAGCCCCCCCACAGUGCGAGUACGACGGUUGUGAAGUCGUGGAGACUGAGGGGCAUGGAGUAUGGGUAGAGAACGUGGGCAGUGGUUGAGGGGAGGCAGUAACUGUUUCUUUCUUUUUUUUUCUUUUUUUUUUUUCUGAAAAAUUAGCUUAGUUUUGGGUUGUUUUAUUUUGGGCUUUUUAUUUAGUGUAAUUGGGAUGGUUAUUAUUUGUAAAUGGACUAAUUUAAUGUUUUUUUUUGGUUUUUGUAUAUGUAUGGGCCCGGGCUAAAAAUUAGGUCUACAAUGAUGAUAAAAGAAAGAAUGGGCAUAUAGUCUUAGUAGAUCUAUAAUAUAAAUAUGUUAUAGUGUUAUAAUUAUAGGAACACUCUUAAUGCAAUCUACCUAUGUCAGCGUGAAAUGUGGAUGCUUCAAGGAGCUUAAAGGCUCUAACAACACUCAUGGAAAGAAAUUACAAA